AUGAUCCGAUCAUUCUCCCCAUCCGCAAGAUCAUUUCUAAGUUUUCUCAAUGGUGUUUGUUUCAUCUGUCCCAAGUUGUCUUUGUUUUUCCCCACCCUCCCACCCUUUCUUUUCUUCAAGGACUCAUAUAUGUUAAUCAAGUAUCCAUUUAUUCAUGUGAAGCCUCUUCACUCCUUGCAAUCAAUGUUCUUACCCGGUGAUUUUCAUGAAGUUGGCCAGGAGUUUCAAGUUCAUCAUUUUUCAUUCUUUUCUUCUCCGAUGGAUUCAAUUCAAGCUUUGUCGAUCAUAUCCUUUCCUCGUUUCAAAUGCUAUCCCAUGCCGGUGCACCUCGUAAUUGUUCACCUCUCUCUAUUCUUAUUCGGAGUGCUCAAGAUAUCUUGGAAGAUUCGUGUUUCCAUUCUCAAUCCGUUCAAGUUAUUUUUGAGGUUGUUAUCUCAUUCAAGCCAUUUAAUUCUACCGGUGUAA
rnacentral:rRNA from 1 species